rnacentral:lncRNA from 1 species
CCCGCCCGUCCCAGAGCAGCGGAGGCCCGCCCUUUUCAUCUACAGCCUAUCGCAGAGCACGUUGCCGUUCGCGCUGACCAAUAGGAGUGGUGGCCAUCACGGCAAGCCCCGCCCCGCGCCCUACGUCGGGUUAAGCGGGGUCCCUCGCCAGCCCCGCGCUGAACAUACGCCAGGUGGCGCUGUGGCGCGCGGCGGGGCUGUGUGCGCUGAGGCUGCUGAGCGGCGGGUGAGACGCUACCGUCGGCGGCUAGAAGUGCUCGGCUGCUGGCACCCGGGAGAGGAAGGUCCAGGGCGGGCCGGAGACGUAGGGGUCCGCGUCCCUGCGCCCAGGCCUGGCAGCUCCCCGCACUGUGGGCGCCCCGCACCCCAAGCCCCUGCCAGGGCCUUCCUUGGGCUCCCGCAUCCGAGGCUCUGAGACCGGAGUACGACGGAGCUCCUGCGCCUUCCGGGGCUGGGGGCCGGGCCCGCCCGUGCCGCUCCUGGCGGGGCCCUCCAUUGGCGUGAGCUUUAAUGGGGGUAGUAAAUGGGGCCGGCAGUUGCGGUUCUCGCUGAUGGCUUUGCUCCUAGUUCAUCGUUGUUGGAGGCCGAGUCCUUAAGAGACCCGAGGCGCCCACUGCCCGCUCUUAAAGUCCGGCUGUGUUCAGAGAACUGAAGCCUCCCGGAAUUUAACUGUUUAGGUUUUUUAAUGACUGAAUUUAUGGGGAAAAGACGAAGCGGUUUAGUGUUCAUGAGACGGGAUCUUGCUCUGUUGCCCAGGCUGGUUUUGAACUCCUGGGCUCAAGUGAUCCCCCUCCUCAGCCUCUCACACUGCUGGGCUUACAAGUGUAAGCCAUCUCAUCCAGACACGCACACCGCAGAGCGUGGCCAUGGAACAGUAACCGGGCUUGUGAGAGGGCUCUACAGUAUCAACUAGGAGACAAGAUCCACGGAUUCACUGUCAACCAGGCCCUGGCCCAGCUCCUGUUGCAUGAUGGCUACUCGGCUGAACAGAGCUUGUGAGAGACAUGACCCCCGGUCCCUUCCUGGAAUGUCGCGAAGCCUGAUUCUUGUCAGAUUUGAGAGAGUAACACUUCCAGCUG